AUCCCCUGGAAAGUGAGAGCCGUUUCUUCACUAGAUACUUUCCCUCCAGUGUCCCAGUAUUGGUGGCCACAGUGGGAGCCCCUUACAGCUGGCUCUUGAGUCUUGUUGACACAUCCCAUCAUUCUUUGUAGAGACGGCGUUUCACCAUGUUAGCCAGGAUGGUCUCAAUCUGCAGACCUCGUGAUCCGCCC